GACGAACGCUGGCGGCGUGCUUAACACAUGCAAGUCGAACGGAAAGGCCCUGCUUUUGUGGGGUGCUCGAGUGGCGAACGGGUGAGUAACACGUGAGUAACCUGCCCUUGACUUUGGGAUAACUUCAGGAAACUGGGGCUAAUACCGGAUAGGAGCUCCUGUUGCAUGGUGGGGGUUGGAAAGUUUCGGCGGUUGGGGCUGGACUCGCGGCUUAUCAGCUUGUUGGUGGGGUAGUGGCUUACCAAGGCUUUGACGGGUAGCCGGCCUGAGAGGGUGACCGGCCACAUUGGGACUGAGAUACGGCCCAGAGUCCUACGGGAGGCAGCGGUGGGGAAUAUUGCACAAUGGGAGGAAGCCUGAUGCAGAAACGCCGCGUGCGGGAUGACGGCCUUCGGGUUGUGAACCGCUUUCGCCUGUGACGAAGCGUGAGUGACGGUAAUGGGUAAAGAAGCACCGGCUAACUACGUG
rnacentral:rRNA from 1 species